rnacentral:misc_RNA from 1 species
GAAAUGCGAUAAGUAGUGUGAAUUGCAGAAUUCAGUGAAUCAUCGAAUCUUUGAACGCACAUUGCACCUCUCGGUAUUCCGGGAGGUAUGCCUGUUCGAGCGUCAUUUGUACCCUCAAGCUCUGCUUGGUGUUGGGUGUUUGUUCCGCCUUUGCGCGUGAACUCGCCUUAAAACAAUUGGCAGCCGGCGUACUUGUUUCGGAGCGCAGCACAUUUUGCGCCCCAGAUCAGCGUAUGUUGGCAUCCAAGAAGCCUUAUUUUAACGCUCUUGACCUCGGAUCAGGUAGGGAUACCCGCUGAACUUAA